rnacentral:rRNA from 1 species
UAACGACAAUGGGUGUGAAAAACACCCACGCCGAAAGACCAAGGUUUCCUGCGCAACGUUAAUCGACGCAGGGUUAGUCGGUCCCUAAGGCGAGGCUGAAAAGCGUAGUCGAUGGAAAACAGGUUAAUAUUCCUGUACUUCUGGUUAUUGCGAUGGAGGGACGGAGAAGGCUAGGCCAGCUUGGCGUUGGUUGUCCAAGUUUAAGGUGGUAGGCUGGAAUCUUAGGUAAAUCCGGGAUUCUAAGGCCGAGAGCUGAUGACGAGUGUUCUUUUAGAACACGAAGUGGUUGAUGCCAUGCUUCCAAGAAAAGCUUCUAAGCUUCAGGUAACCAGGAACCGUACCCCAAACCGACACAGGUGGUUGGGUAGAGAAUACCAAGGCGCUUGAGAGAACUCGGGUGAAGGAACUAGGCAAAAUGGCACCGUAACUUCGGGAGAAGGUGCGCCGGUGAGGGUGAAGCAUUUACUGCGUAAGCCCACGCCGGUCGAAGAUACCAGGCCGCUGCGACUGUUUAUUAAAAACACAGCACUCUGCAAACACGAAAGUGGACGUAUAGGGUGUGACGCCUGCCCGGUGCCGGAAGGUUAAUUGAUGGGGUUAGCUAACGCGAAGCUCUUGAUCGAAGCCCCGGUAAACGGCGGCCGUAACUAUAACGGUCCUAAGGUAGCGAAAUUCCUUGUCGGGUAAGUUCCGACCUGCACGAAUGGCGUAACGAUGGCGGCGCUGUCUCCACCCGAGACUCAGUGAAAUUGAAAUCGCUGUGAAGAUGCAGUGUAUCCGCGGCUAGACGGAAAGACCCCGUGAACCUUUACUAUAGCUUUGCACUGGACUUUGAAUUUGCUUGUGUAGGAUAGGUGGGAGGCUUUGAAGCGUGGACGCCAGUUCGCGUGGAGCCAACCUUGAAAUACCACCCUGGCAACUUUGAGGUUCUAACUCAGGUCCGUUAUCCGGAUCGAGGACAGUGUAUGGUGGGUAGUUUGACUGGGGCGGUCUCCUCCUAAAGAGUAACGGAGGAGUACGAAGGUGCGCUCAGACCGGUCGGAAAUCGGUCGUAGAGUAUAAAGGCAAAAGCGCGCUUGACUGCGAGACAGACACGUCGAGCAGGUACGAAAGUAGGUCUUAGUGAUCCGGUGGUUCUGUAUGGAAGGGCCAUCGCUCAACGGAUAAAAGGUACUCCGGGGAUAACAGGCUGAUACCGCCCAAGAGUUCAUAUCGACGGCGGUGUUUGGCACCUCGAUGUCGGCUCAUCACAUCCUGGGGCUGAAGCCGGUCCCAAGGGUAUGGCUGUUCGCCAUUUAAAGUGGUACGCGAGCUGGGUUUAGAACGUCGUGAGACAGUUCGGUCCCUAUCUGCCGUGGACGUUUGAGAUUUGAGAGGGGCUGCUCCUAGUACGAGAGGACCGGAGUGGACGAACCUCUGGUGUUCCGGUUGUCACGCCAGUGGCAUUGCCGGGUAGCUAUGUUCGGAAUAGAUAACCGCUGAAAGCAUCUAAGCGGGAAACUAGCCUCAAGAUGAGAUCUCACUGGGACCUUGAGUCCCCUGAAGGGCCGUCGAAGACUACGACGUUGAUAGGUUGGGUGUGUAAGCGCUGUGAGGCGUUGAGCUAACCAAUACUAAUUGCCCGUGAGGCUUGACCAUAUAACACCCAAGCAAUU